UUCGACCUCAGAUCAGGUAGGGAUACCCGGUG
rnacentral:rRNA from 1 species